AGUGGGACGUUUCGAGUGGGUUUAUGGUCGGAGGCCUGGGCGGGGCUGGCUAGGGUCACGCCCGGACUCUCGGCGUCGGUCGCUGGAAGGGCUCCCGGGCGCACACACUUCCCGGCGACGGAGGGGAGGGAGAGGCUCGGGUGGGAGCCGGAAACGGGAGUCGGGUUUUGCGCUCUGGCGAACGCAGAGCCUUCUCUAAGUCCUGUCAGAGGCAGAGAGGCUGGUCAAGAACCAGAGUUGGGACUGACGGUAAAACGGGAUGGUGAAAAACCUCAAGUCCGCAGGGGUCCUAGGGAAGUAGGGUCCUUGGAACUGCGGAGCAGGUAACGGGAAAGAACUGUAAUGCGCUGGGGUUUUGGUCGGGAGCUGGAGUUCGAAUGGAAGACGAAUAAUUUAGGAAUGUGAAAGAAUCUGUCAUUCUUCCGCAUACGUCCCGUUUUCUGUCUUGUAAAGAUACCACUAUUUUAGUGACUGUUUAAAGGAAGACUAGUUAGGAGGGUUUUUUUUGAAAGGCCAGCUAUUUCAGGUGUGUAAGAUAAUAUGAAAUCAAAAUGUCAGCAUUGGAGGAUGUUCAUUCAUUUGACAUUAGUGAAUUUCUCUGCUCUGUACAAUAGAACUUUAUGCUUGUUCUCUAUCUGAGCUGUUCAGUACAGUAGCUGCUAACCACAUGUGGCUAUUAAGUGCUUGAAAUGUGGUUAGUGCAACUGAGGGCUGAAGUUUUUAUUUAACUUAGAUAUAUAUUUAAAUAGUUGAAUGGUGACUGGUGGCUACAGUAUUGGACAGCACAGGUCUAGAUGCUGGGAACAGUGCAGGGAACAAACAGGCAAAUGUCUCUGGACUUGUAGGACUUACAUUCAUUUAAAGUAAAUCUGUUUUCUUUUGAUAAUUUUUUUAAAGCUUAGUAUUGCUGUUUAUUGGCAGGGGUGAUGAUGCAAGACAUAUCAUUGGAAGACCUAUCAGGACUUUUUGAAAAAACAGUUAAGAGAGCAAAUCUGGGGUUGUCCAACCUUAGGCUAAUUAAAAUGACUAAGAAGAGCCACUAAAAUUAAAGAUUUCUUUUUUUUUCCAGAAAUGAGUAACUUAUAUGUAUUGUUGCUAUGUUUUUGAAGACUGCCCUAUGGUUAUGUAACUUCUUAUACCCUGGUAUUGACCAUGAGGGAGUUGUGAGAGAAGUCCUCCUGGAUGUAAUAUUUCCUGGGGAAGAAAACAAGCUGCAUUUGUGAUUUUUAUUAGUUCACUGAACAUCCUUUUCUAAGGAUGAUUUUUCUGUGGAGUGGAAUGUUUAACUAGUGACUUGGACCUUUGCCCACUAGAAUACAAUUAUUGAGAAAACCAGAAGGGUUUUUAGAGUCCUGAUUCUUGAAUUAUAUUCGGGAAGGAUCAGCAAUUUAAAAAAAUAAUCUUAGCCUUCUGUUCUUGCUUCUAAUUCCCAUGCAUCUUGUAUGUAGAAUUUGAAUAGUCUUGUUGUGUACCCAUACAUCUGUAACUUGAAUGUAGCUUGAAAUGUAUUUGUGCAUUGACCUGAAAGUUUAUAUAUGAAUUUGUCAGCAGUUUCCAUGUUCCUACUCGAGUGUUUUUUUUUUUUAACUAUGGUGAAUCAUCAUCACUUUCUUUCUAUCUAAUGCUUGAAAAUAAUUUGUAAUUACAUUUCUAAAUACCUCUUUUAAGUGACUUUCCAAUGACAACCUAUUGGAAUAUAGCACCCCAUAACUGACUGAUGGGGGGUUAGUUGAUACCUGGAAUCUUCCACAUGCACUUAUUGUGUCUAGUGGUAUAAAACAUAAAAGGCAGCCUGGCCUUUAUCCUGGAAACGUACAGUUGAAAAGAAGACCUGACAUGGAUAAUUUCAUUAAUGAGGAUUUAAAGAGGCUCGUCAGGGAUCCAGAAGAUACAGUAAGAUGUGCAAAACUCUUUAAGAAUUGUGGAAACAGGUUUCCAGGCUCCUGCUUAUCAUCUUAUUUUGGAAGGAAUUUUAAUAUUCUGGAUAAUCAGACUUCUUUUUUCUAAAACUUACAAAUUACAAGAAUGAUCUGAUCUUACAGUCAAG